rnacentral:rRNA from 1 species
AAAACGAUGACUCUCGGCAACGGAUAUCUCGGCUCUCGCAUCGAUGAAGAACGCAGCGAAAUGCAAUACUUGGUGUGAAUUGCAGAAUCCCGCGAACCAUCGAGUCUUUGAACGCAAGUUGCGCCCGAGGCCAUCAAGCAAAGGGCACGUCUGCCUGGGCAUCACGC